rnacentral:rRNA from 1 species
UACGUAGGGUCCGAGCGUUGUCCGGAAUUAUUGGGCGUAAAGGGCUCGUAGGCGGUUUGUCGCGUCGGGAGUGAAAACACCGGGCUUAACUCGGUGCUUGCUUUCGAUACGGGCAGACUAGAGGUAUUCAGGGGAGAACGGAAUUCCUGGUGUAGCGGUGAAAUGCGCAGAUAUCAGGAGGAACACCGGUGGCGAAGGCGGUUCUCUGGGAAUAUCCUGACGCUGAGGAG